rnacentral:rRNA from 1 species
ACUCGAGUGGCGAACGGGUGAGUAACACGUGGGUGAUCUGCCCUGCACUUCGGGAUAAGCCUGGGAAACUGGGUCUAAUACCGGAUAGGAGCCAUUUUUAGUGUGAUGGUUGGAAAGUUUUUCGGUGUAGGAUGAGCUCGCGGCCUAUCAGCUUGUUGGUGGGGUAACAGCCCACCAAGGCGACGAUCAGUAGCCGGUCUGAGAGGAUGAACGGCCACAUUGGAACUGAGACACGGUCCAA